rnacentral:tRNA from 2 species
GCCCACGUAGCUCAGCUGGCAGAGCACUUCCUUGGUAAGGAAGAGGUCACCGGUUCAAGCCCGGUCGUGGGCUCCA